rnacentral:hammerhead_ribozyme from 1 species
AUUCAGCUGACGAGUCCCAAAAUAGAACGAAAUGCGCAGCCUGUAU